rnacentral:rRNA from 1 species
GGCGGUGUACCAGAACACGUUCGACGGUGAGGGAUGAAAGCUGGGGGAGCAANCCGGAUUAGAUACCCGGGUAGUCCCAGCUGUAAACGNNGCAGACUCGGUGAUGCAUUGGCUUGUGGCCAAUGCAGUGCCGCAGGGAAGCCGUUAAGUCUGCCGCCUGGGAAAGUACGUACGCAAGUAUGAAACUUAAAGGAAUUGGCGGGGGAGCACCACAAGGGGUGAAGCCUGCGGUUCAAUUGGAGUCAACGCCAGAAAUCUUACCUGGGGCGACAGCAGAAUGAAGGUCAAGCUGAAGACUUUACCAGACAAGCUGAGAGGUGGUGCAUGGCCGUCGCCAGCUCGUGCCGUGAGAUGUCCUGUUAAGUCAGGUAACGAGCGAGACCCCUGCGUCUAGUUGCUACCAUUACUCUCUGGAGUAGUGGAGCGAAUUAGACGGACCGCCACAGUUAAUGUGGAGGAAGGAAGGGGCCACGGCAGGUCAGUAUGCCCCGAAACCCUAGGGCUACACGCGGGCUGCAAUGGUAUUGACAAUGUGUUCCGAAUCCGAAAGGAGGAGGCAAUCAUCAAACGAUACCUCAGUUAUGACUGAGGGCUGUAACUCGCCCUCACGAAUAUGGAAUCCCUAGUAACUGCGCGUCACUACCGCGCGGUGAAUACGUCCCUGCUCCUUGCACACACCGCCCGUCGUUUCAUCGAAGUUGGCCUUUAGUGAGGUAGUGUCUUGUUGGCAUUAUCGAGCUUGAGGUCAGUGACGAGGGAAAAGUCGUAACAAGGUA